rnacentral:rRNA from 1 species
UACAGAGGUGGCAAGCGUUGUUCGGAAUUACUGGGCGUAAAGGGCGCGUAGGCGGCCUUCUAAGUCAGACGUGAAAUCCCCCGGCUUAACCUGGGAACUGCGUCUGAUACUGGAGGGCUUGAGUGCGGGAGAGGGAUGUGGAAUUCCGGGUGUAGCGGUGAAAUGCGCAGAUAUCCGGAGGAACACCGGUGGCGAAGGCGGCUUCCUGGACCGACACUGACGCUGAGGCGCGAAAGCGCGGGGAGCGAACAGG